rnacentral:rRNA from 1 species
UACGAAGGGGCUAGCGUUGCUCGGAAUCACUGGGCGUAAAGGGUGCGUAGGCGGGUCUUUAAGUCAGGGGUGAAAUCCUGGAGCUCAACUCCAGAACUGCCCUUGAUACUGAGGAUCUUGAGUUCGGGAGAGGUGAGUGGAACUGCGAGUGUAGAGGUGAAAUUCGUAGAUAUUCGCAAGAACACCAGUGGCGAAGGCGGGUCUCUGGGCCGAUACUGACGCUGAGGAGCGAAAGCGAUGGGGAGCGAACGAGGCAUUCAGAAA